UCGCAUAAUCCUCAUUCUGGUGGAAAAGCUUUCUCAGGUUUAGCGGCAGUAAAGGCAGCGGAAAUGUGUUAUUCCUGUAGUGCAAUAAUGUUUUCCUAAUCUCAGUAUCUUUUUAAACAUGUCCACAUGUAGUAUGCUUCCAGAGCAUUCCGGGUCCAAGUCACAGCUGCAGAGAGCAGUCAGAAAGUUUGAACUACUGGCACAUUCCAGCCAUCCAUUUCCCCUUCCUCAGUAUUCCUGGAGAAUGAUUCUACAAAAAAGUCCAGAGGCAUCUUAUCUUUCUUCUUCUGUAUGUUCCCGUUGGCAACCUGGUUGGCACUUUGGAUAUGUUUUUUCACUUCUUCUGUUUAUAAGAUAUACAUAUUAAUCAAGGGGAUUUUCAUGUGCCAAACCAAAAGUGUGCAGUGUCAAGAGCAACCUGAUGAAACCAGUCACAGGAGUAAAUUAAACAAGAACGAGGGAGAGAGAGAUUUGGACCUCUUUUGAAUACUGCAGCCCAACAGCCAAGCAGGAAAUAAAAAAAAGCGCUAGCCGGGCAGAUCUACAGAGCCAAUUGAGUCCAAAAGAAUGUCAAGGCUACCAAGCACUUCCACCCUUGCUGCUGCAUGAAAGAUGUGGAAGGACCAAACCUUCAGGGUCAUGUUUUUCUACUGCCUAAGGUUAAAGAAAAGAACAUGUUUCUGCAUCAGUGGUGGUUCUGGAGAAGAGAGGAUAUGGGCAACAUCUCUUGGUUUCUUCUGCCCCAUGUCUUAAGAAAUUUGCCGUGAUAAUUGGACAACCUGUCUCCUCAAAAGGCCUCAGCCCUCUCAGUUGUUAGCUGCUUUCACAAAGGACUUCACCAGCUAAGCAACACGCACAUUCGGUUUGCCCAAAGCCUUUGCGCUAACCUCCAGAUGCAUUCUUGGAUGCUGUUAGAAGCAUAGACAGUUGCAAACCUCAGAUCUUUUUUUCUUCUCCCUCUUGCCUGGAAUUGGGAACCAGUUUGUGCACCAAAAAUAGAAGUAUCAGUAAGCGGCUCAAAGGGACUUAAUCCCCUAGAUGCAGAUGAAAUCAAUUAAAAAAUUUGAAACUGGCAGCCUCUUAUAUUUUAAUUGCACAGUGCGGUGAUAUUCUGCCGAAAGCAAUUACAUUGUAGAUCUUCCCACACACAGACAGCCCCAGUUGUGCUCUAUGAAGACUAGUGGUUAAGUGUAUCAGGAAUCACGUCUGCGUUUCAAAAAUCCGUUUUCAUUCCGGCUUUGAAAUAAAGUUUCAGCAUUUUUGGACAGAAGAGGGGUUGUGGGAUUUAUUUAAUUUUUUGGACUAGCACAAUGAAAAUGCCCAUGUGCCCGGAGGAUAAUAUUGGUUUCAUUCCUAUUAAUUAAUCCAUUGCUUUUCCUGCAAGGACACUCUUCUGCCUCUUUGACUAUUUUUGAACAGGCAACUGUCGGAAAAGAUACCCCUGCUCAGCAUCAAAUGAACGAUUCCACUCAAAAGAAAAAUAUUUCCACAGGUUGAACAGGCCUUGAAGCCCAGUCUUCCAAAUUGUGGUUGAAGUGCUCAGAUCCAGUUCAUGCUAGUGAUAUCCCUUGCCCUCCCUUCAAAAUUAGCCCAUAUGAAUGGACCCUUUUGUAGCAGAGAAAGAAACAGACAGGGAUCACAAUGAUCUCUUUCU